rnacentral:rRNA from 1 species
AGUGGGGAAUAACCCCGGGAAACUGGGGCUAAUACCGCAUAAUCUUUUCCUGACACCGGUCGGGAAAUGCAAAGCCCGCAAGGGCGCUGGUGGAGGGAUCCGCGUCUGAUCAGCUAGUUGGUGAGGUAACGGCUCACCAAGGCGGAGACCGGUAGCCGGUCUGAGAGGACGAUCGGCCACACUGGAACUGAGACACGGUCCAGACUCCUACGGGAGGCAGCAGUGAGGAAUAUUGCGCAAUGGGGGAAACCCUGACGCAGCGACGCCGCGUGGAGGACGACGCCCUUCGGGGUGUAAACUCCUUUCGACGGGGACGAAUGCCCGCAAGGGUUUGACGGUACCCGUAUAAGAAGCCCCGGCUAACUACGUGCCAGCAGCCGCGGUAAUACGUAGGGGGCAAGCGUUGCUCGGAAUUACUGGGCGUAAAGGGUCCGUAGGCGGCGGGGCGUGUCGGUUGUGAAAUCUCCCGGCUUAACUGGGAGGGUGCGACCGAAACUGCUCUGCUUGAGGGCCGGAGAGGCGAGUGGAAUUGCUGGUGUAGCGGUGAAAUGCGUAGAGAUCAGCAGG